CAUGACUCUGAAGCUUUUCUGCUCCAUCUCAGUCAGACCCUCUCCUUUCCCUAAAGCGCUGCUGUGUACACAGUCAGCACCACCUCGCUGAGUUUAGCACUUCAUGUGCUUCUGCCUCCCUGAGUAGGUUUCACAAAAAGGAACUUACUCGUAUUUUUAGAAUUCUGUUAGCAUCUCUAAGAUUUCCCUGGUGGCUCAGAUGAUAAAGCGUCUGCCUACAAUGAAGGAGACCCGGAUUCGAUCCCUGGGUGGGAAAGAUGCCCUGGAGAAGGAAAUGGCAACCCACUCCAAUAUUCUUGCCUGGAAAAUCCCAUGGACAGAGGAACCUGGUAGGCUAUAGUCCAUGGGGUUGCAAACAGCUGAACAUGACUGAGCGACUUCACUUUCUAUCUUUCUUUAGCAUCUCUACCAUGGGAACUAUAGAAUAGCACAUUUAGCAGUAGAACUUGAUCUGCAAGCAAGCUCCUUGUCUCCGGAUGAUUUGUGAAGAGGAAAACGCUUCUGUUACCGAAUCCCCCAGCUCCAUUCUGUAGGAUGCUGUCAAGAAGGAGAAGAGUCUUCUGUAUACAAACGAAGAGCACGCUGGUUCGUAGCACAUGGGAGUCCAUCCCUAGACAAAACAUGUUGUCUCUUGUUUGUUGAUAUGUCUGCCCUUUAGUGAAGUGAGAAGAAAGUGUGGCUUUCAAGAGGGGGGAAAAAAACACUCAAGGGUUUUCUGGUUCUAGUUUUAGCUUUUCUCAUGAUUUACGAGAAGCUCCAAUACUUUGGCCACCUGAUGCAAAGAGGUGACUCACUGGAAAAGAUCCUGAUGCUGGGAAGGAUUGAGGGCAGGAGGAGAAGGGGGAAGCAGAGGAUGAGAUGGUUGGAUGGCAUCACUGACUCAACGGAUAUGAAUGUGAGCAAACUCUGGGGACAGUGAAGGACAAGGAUGCCAGGUGUGCUGAGGUCCAUGGGGUUGCAAACAGUCAGACGUGACAGCGACUGAACAACAAUGAGAAGUCUCUUAGCAGGGUGUCAUGGUCAACAGACAGCUAGUAAAUAAUGAUGGGCUCACUGAGCACAAGUCAUAUGUCUAUUCGUUUCCCUUAAAAAGUCAGUCAUGGAUAAACUUAUUCAAAAAGGAAAUGGAUGGAACCAUGAAGUUACAACGAAUCAAAGCCAAUCAAUCAAUCAACAACAUGGAGUUGGAAACCAAUGUCCAAUUUUGUGGGGAAUUAAACUAAGAAAAUGUUUUCAAAUGAGGACAGUCAUCCCAUUUACAGAAACCGAAGCAUGGUCAGUGUUUAUUCAGCACUUACUAUCUACCAAGUACCACUGUAAGGGGGAACAGGGAAGAAGGCUUCUAAGAAGUGAGUGAGUGUCCCCACCCACCCAGCUGUGGGCUUGCUUCAGCCCAUGAUUAAGAGAAGUUCUGAGAAGGGGUAUCUGAAUGGAGUAUAGAAUACCCACAGAAGACUUGGUGGAGUCCCUGGGUAUUUAUUGGAAUUUUCUUUAGGAAACCAGGACAAAACUGUAAACAUUUCUCUGAGUCUCUGUGGGGUUCCAGACACCAUGGCAAAUGCUGGAAAUCUAUUAAUGAAUAAGUAACAACUGAAAUUAAAAGACGCUUACUCCUUGGAAGGAAAGUUAUGACCAACCUAGACAGCAUAUUAAAAAGCAGAGACAUUAUUUUGCCAAUAAAGUCCAUCUAGUCAAGGCUAUGGUUUUUUCAGUGGUCAUGUAUGGAUGUGAGAGUUGGACUGUGAAGAAAGCUGAGCGCCGAAAAAUUGAUGCUUUUGAACUAUGGUGUUGGAGAAGACUCUUGAGAGUCCCUUGGACUGCAAGGAGAUCCAGCCAGUCCAUCCUAAAGGAGAUCAGUCCUGGGUGUUCAUUGGAAGGACUGAUGUUGAAGCUGAAACUCCAGUACUUUGGCCACCUCAUGUGAAGAGUUGACUCAUUGGAAAAGACCCAGAUGCUGGGAGGAAGUGGGGGCAGGAGGAGAAGGGGACGACAGAGGAUGAGAUGGCUGGAUGGCAUCACCGACUUGAUGGACAUGUGUUUGAGCAAACUCCGGGAGUUGGUGAUAGACAGGGAGGCCUGGUACACUAUGUGUACCUUGUAGGGAUAUUUGGUCUUUUGAAUCUAGCUCCGUUAUCUAAAUUUUCAGAUGAAUCCACUUGAGGGGUCAUGAACAGAGGAAGAGAAAGAUGACACCAAUGCCUUUUUGGAUUGAGAGAUAGGGCAUGACAAUUCAGAAAACAUCCUAUGAGUACUGGGGAAAGUCUUGACAGACGUACUUCAUCUCAAUUCAUAGAGGAGGUCUCUGAUCCCCUCCCAAGAGGAGUUUAAUCAGCCACGAAGCCAGGCAAGGACUGCAGUUUCCAGGGAUGUCUCAGGGUCACUGCAAAGCUACUGUGUGAUGACAAUAUUGUGUGAUCACAAUUUGAAAUAGAAAAAACAGAGACAAAUUAAAAGGAAGGACAAAGUAGGAAUAAAUAACAGAGACAUCAUCAACAGUAAUCAGCGCUCUGUGCAGCUGAGUCAGAAAACAUGUUUUAAGGGCAUAUUGACAUUGAAAAUCCCCCAUGACUGACAUGAACACACUUGAGAUGCAAGUGCCAGGGUGAGACAGAGCCAAAAACCCAUCAACAUGGAUCCAAGCACAUUUAUGUCCUAUUUCAUGGUCUGAUUUACUUACACUAUGAAAUUAAUCUUUUCCCCAUGUUAUCGCAAACUCUGAAAAUGAGUUGAUUUGACAAACUAGAAAAUAGAGAUAAAAAUAAGAAGAAUCUCCACAGGCACAGGAAAUUCCCAUUAAUAUUUUGGCACUGAUUCUUCCAAAGGUGUCAAUCAUAAGUUUUUUUUUUUUCUUUCUUUCUUGAGAAAGUCAAGAGUGUUAGUUAAGAACAGAGGGAGAAAAUCUAGAGCUGGAUUUGGACUAUGAGAUAUGUAACGUUAACCCCCAGGAUAAAGAUUUUUUAUGCAUAUUUAGGUGAAAGUGCUCAUCACCCAAAAUAUGAUAACCUCAUCCAAAUUUUAUACUAGCAUCUUGAUAUGGUGGUGGUGGUGAUUUAGUCACUAAGUCGUAUACGACUCUUUGUGACUCCAUGAACUAUAGCCUCCCAGGCUCCUCUGUCCAUGGGAUUCUCCAGGCAAGAACACUGGAGUGGGUUGCCAUUUCCUUCUCCAGGGGAUUUUCCCGACCUAGGGACUGAAUCUGCAUCUCCUGCUUGGCAGCCGGAUUUUUAACCACUGAACCACCUGGGAAGCCCAGCAUCCUGAUAUAGAAACUUCUAUAUCUAUUUAUAUUAAUAUAAAUAUGUGUGUUUCAAACAGAGUAUCCAUUUACUAUAAUUCUUGCAACUGGCUCUGUCAUUUGUUCCCUGCUGUCCAAGAUAAAGGGUGCCUUGUGGUACUAUUAAGAAGUAAUGAUAUCAAGGUGAACCCCCCGAGAGGAAGGCCAUUUACUAUGACCCCCAGAAGGAUGUGUCUUAAUUAGUAGCUUGUGAAUAGGUCUUAGACAAACACAACAAAAACAUCUGUGAGUGGCCCACUCGAGACUUUUCCUCUCACACGGACUCCUUAGUUUAAGGGCCCAGCCUUUUUCAUGAGGCAAAAAUCCCUGUAGUGAGAUCAGAUCUGGAGGUGGUAAGUCAAAGCAGAAUGCGGUGACUAUGCAAACACAAAAAGAAUACAUGCUUACUUCUUACCAAUAUUACUAAAAGGACAAAUAUUGGAAUCAUAGAAUUUGAAAUCGUUUCUAAAGGUCAGAAAAAAGUACAUGUUGCAAUGUUAUUUUAGUAUGGAAAAAGUGGAAUUAACUGAAUAUUCACAAGGAAUGAAUGAAUGAUGACAUAGCCAUAGGGACAAAACAUUCUCUAGCUGUUAAAAAUUAUAUUUCCUAGCAUGAAUAUUUCAAUCUAAUGUAUUAUAUAUUUUUAUGUCCAUAUGCAGAUAAUUAUAUGCAAAUUAUUAAUGAGUAUUAGAAAAGAAGCAAAUACAGAAAACUGAAUUGUGUGAAAGCUGACAAAGCAGUGGUACAUAGAAGGAAAUGGAGAGUUUCAUUGAAGAAGGUGGCACAAAGGCUAAGUGAAAGAGGAUGGAUUAGAUACAGGACUCAAGCAGAAGGUCACCCUACACCUACCGUGACAAACGAUGGGGCAGACAAUAUAGGACACAGGCAGGUAGCCUGGUAAAUGCUGUGGAGGUUUGACUUGAUUAAUUUUCAAAUUGAGGUAUAACUGACAUACAAUAUUAUAUUCACGUCAGGUACAUAACAGUGAUUUGAUAACUUCAUACAUUAUAAAAUGAUCACAAUAAACCACAUAUUGAAUGAAAUUUAAAAAUACAUUGGAAACAUUCGAAAACUUUAAAACUAUAAUGUUACACAGGAGAUUUACUGAAACAUGCGUUAAAAGGAGAGCAAAUUUUUCUGGCAUAAUGUGCCCCAUUCCAGCUCUCCCGCUGUCAAAAAUACUUCCCCAUCUUGUCUGUUUCCUUCCAGGGGCUGUGUUUGGGGCCAUGGCUCCCGCAGCUGUACCAAUAAUGUGAUUUUGGAACUCAACCAGAAAAUGGAACUUUGCCCCUAACUCAAAUCUAACAUAAAAAUGUCACAAACACAAAAACAGUAAGUCUAGAUUAUCCCAAAUUCCUGUCUGUCUGGUCACAGGUUUUUAACAAAACUACAUCCUGCUGCUUUCCAUUUAAUUCUGCCUCUGGCAAAAGCAUUUUAUGAUGUCAUGAAAUACACAGCUUAUUGGUAUGGAUUCUAUUUCCUUUUAAUUUUUUUUUAUAUGAAAUACUGAUGCAGUUCUCUUCGUUGGCUUCAGAGUCCAUGUAGAUCUCAUUUGGGUUUACAAAAGCAUCAAAAAUCAAUGUAGCGAGGAGAAAGACGGAACUAUUAAGGGAGAAAGCUUACUGACCGAGAAACAGGAAGUAGCAGAAGAUAUUCAGCCAUCACUUGCACAUACCUGUCACCUAUUCCCACCAACGAAGAGAAGGGCUUCAGACACAUUGAGCCCAGUUGGCCUUUAACAUCUGGGAGAUAAUGUUUAAGGUAAUUUAAAAUCUCCCUGGUGGCUCAUUAUAAACUGGGUGGAAUCUCUUGGGGAAAAUCAGCCACUGAUGGAAAAUUCAGAUCCCUUCUUCCUCUUGUCUUCCACUUCUUCCUAUUCUUUUCCUCCUUCCCUUCCUGUACUGAAAUGACUUAUUUUCCUUUUUGGAUUCUUUUCAACUAACCUGAAUUUCUCCUAGAAGAUCCAAGCAUCACAGAAGGAGGUUGAGGCCAGUUAUGAGUGUUUUAAAUACCAGCCUUCAUCUAACCCACUUUGCAAUAAACUAUUUUAAGGAAUAUCUUUCAUGGUAUGCAGAAGGGGUGAAUAUCAACAUGAGGAGGUGCAGAUCUGUGCGUGGCAGGUAAGUUCCCUAGAGAUUUGUAUUUGUGACUGCCUACCAUCACUAACCUUCAGAAUGACUGAUGGGACGUGUUUUCUUCCCUUUCUUGGAUCGCAAGAGAGAACUUACUGAUAUUUACAGUGAUGAAAACAAAUGACCAAACCUGGCAGUUUUCAUCUAGAGUCAGUUCACAAUUACCCACUUGUAAGCCUGUGGAUUUUCCAUGGCCGAUUUUCAAUUCCAAAAGGUUUCUCCUGAUACCUUCUAUCCUUCAGGGUUAUUUUCCCUUCAUUAGUCAGUUACUGCUCAGGGAAUACCAAUGACAUUUAAUAUCAGGUUAAGCAAACUCCGAAGGAAGAUAAAUUGGCAAGAAAAAUCACAGUGCAUACAAAGCACAAAGAGGAAUGUUUUUGGAACAUAUCAUCUUUUGUAUUAUCAACACCACCACUUUCUAAAUGAACAAUGCCUUAUAGGCAUUUGGAAACUCUGAAAAUUUUCUUUGUAUAUCAGAUUCAGAGAAAUUGAUUUGGCUAUUUUCAAGUGUUUUACAAUUAAUUAAUUUAUAAGUGAUUCGAAGAAAAUCUAUUCUUCUGUCACCUGAUAGUCAUCUUUUAACCGUUGCACCAUGAGGUGAUGGGAAGGAAAUAAGGAAAGAAAGCUAAAAAGCAGUUCACUUUGCUACUUAAUAGAUCUCUGGAAGAAUGCUGGUAAAUUCAAGUCCAGACUAGAAGGUAGACUAAAAUAAGAUUUCUCCAUGUUCUACCUUGGAAUUUCAAUUAUUUUUAUGUAUUCCUUGGCUUCUGCCACUAUGAAUAAUAUGAAGGCAGCAAUGAGAUUCAGUACAUUUCAAGGAACAAAAGAAAUGAGGAUAGAACUAAAGGAAAAUGAUGAAUAGCUCCAACCUUGCAAAAUCUAGAAGUUGAAGUGAAAACGAUUAAUUUCCUUUCACCUCCUAUAGCAUUUAUACCUACAUCACGAAUUUGGCACUGGGCCCACACUGGCUUGCGCCAUUGCUGUUGUUAGUAAUAAUACUGAUCUUCUACAAAGUUCUAGGCUAUGUUGGGCACCUUUCAAACAAUGUUUCUAAGGCUGACAACAAUCCUGGAAGACAAGUAUUAUUGUUUCAACUUUACUGGUAAGAAAGCAAAAGUUCAGGGCUAAGUAACCUGCUCAAGGCCAUCAAAGUCCCUUGGGUCAUUAGUGGCAUAAGGGCUUGACCAGAGAAUAGUUGACCCACAAACCCUCUCCAUAUAUGGCAGGGGAACUGGUUAUAGGAAUCUCCUUCCUAACAAGGGCAAAGAGUUGGACACAACUUAGUGACUGAACCACAACAACGAGACUGUAAGCAUCUGAUGGAGGGUAGGGUUGGAAUCCCUAGUAGGACACAGAACUAGAGGUUCCUUAUUCUUGCAUCAUUCAUUCUCGCCUGAGCAGUGCUCAGUAAGCGCUAUUGAUUGUGGCUCCAUCUUGGUAGGGGAAGUUUGAUUUGAUUCGGUGUCAUUUUUGUCUCUAAAGAAAAGUCAGAUGCAGCAACGCAGAUGCUCUGUGUGGGGAGAGCAGUGAUUUUGCUACCAAUGGUACAGACUGUGUUGGCUAAUAUAAUAAUUUUAAACACGUACACAACUCUGCUGCUAUCGGUAAUAGUCAAGUAAUACACAUACCAACCCAUCCCAGCGCCCGCCAGGAGCAGAAGCAGGGGACAGACUGCAUCAUCCCAGCAGUAACUAUCACUGCCAGUGUGAUGAGGGCGGUCAGGGUGCCUCGCUCCACUCUAAAGAUAGAUUUGUCAGCAAGAGAGACACCGCAACCUGUCACUAUUCACGGGCGUGUAAUCUCCUGAAAAGCAGGGGUCAUUCUGAGCCCCUUUUAUAGAAUAGAAAGAAAUGCUGCCAUAUCAGGGUGUCUCAUUUCAAAAGAGGAAAAAAAAAAAAAAACAGAAGAGCUCCUCGAUGGAUGGCUCUGCUUCAAUGAUUUUAAACAACUGGGUAGCCCUAAAUAAAAGACUGAAAUUGUGUCUCUGCUUCGGAAAAAUCACUAAAAUUUUGUUUGAAUAUUCUUGUGAGCUCAUUCAACAGUACUUAACCAGCAAAGUGAAAGUGUUAGUCACUCAGUCGUGUCGGACUCUUUGCAACCCUAUGGACUGUAGCCCACCAGGCUCCUCUGACCAUGGGAUUCUCCAGGCAAGAAUAUGGGAGUGGGCUGCCAUUCCCUUCUCUGGGGGAUCCUCUUGACCCAGGGAUCGAACCGAGGUCUGUUGCAUUACAAGUAGAUUCUUUACCAUCUGUGAUACCAGGGAAGACUGCAAUAUAAACAAUGCCACCUUCUGAGGCAGUCACUGCUUCCACAGGGGUCACCACUCAACUCUAUAGAUGGGUAUGUGCCCUUUUCAUCCAAAGGACAAUGAUGAAAUUUGAAGUUUUUUUGAGAAACUAAGCAUAUAAUCUUGGAAGCUCUGGGGAACUAUCAUACAGACAAAACCAGUCACUCCAAAAAGUCUUCCAAAAAUUGCUAAAACUGAUAAAUGAACCAUCGGUCAACUUGGGCCAAACUAUAUGCAUUUCCUACAUUAUUCAAGAAACAAAUGGAGAUGGAAUAGACACUCCUCAAUUCUCAAAAACUCUUCAUUGCCUUUGGGACUUGAUUGUUAGUAGGCAAAAGAUCAUCUCUCCAUUUUCAGCAGACAAAGCACGUGCUUUGGACGGGAACUCUCCCGUCCUGCUCCAGGAGCACUGGCUUCCUCAGAGACUUUGGCUAAAAAGCACUUAACCUUCUUGCACUUUAGUGUGUCCAACUGUGAAAUAAGAAAGAUAAUGACAACAACAAUAAUAAAGCUUGGGACCUACAUACCUCACUGAAGGGUUCUAUGAAUUAAACAUACUGGGCUCGGAAAGUGCUUUUACGCUGUAAAAGCACCUAACACUCAGCAAAUUCCCACGUUAAUGUAAUAUACAUGGUCCACAGGAUUUCACCAGAGGCUGUGUGGCGCACAGCUUUGCAGGUGACUUGGUAGGUAAGUAAGGCUUUAGGUAACAUUAAAAAGAGAUACGUUCUUGGGCUUCCCUGCUGGCUCGGUGGUAAAGAAUCUGCCUGCCAAUGCAGGAGAUGCCUGCUGGAUCCCUGAUCUGGGAAGAUCCCACAUGUCGAGGAGCCACUAGGCCCGUCUGCCAUGACUACUGAGCCCACGUGCUCCAGAGCCCGUGCUCCGCAACAAGAGAAGCCACUGCAAGGAGAAGCCUGAGCAAUGCAACUAGAGAGUAGCCCUCGCAGCAACGAAGACCCAGCACAGUCAAAAAUAAAUAAUAAAAUAAGUAAAAUAAUAAUGCUUAAAAAGACAUACAUUCUUUAACUGCUUUGGCUGUUUAUCCCAGGGAGGACCAGGAAGAAAAGCAAUUUUAAAACAUCAGAUCCAGUUCAGUGAGAAUUAUGACUGUCUAAGUAAACCAUGAGACUCUGACAGUUUUAAAUCAAGCUCUGAAAAGAAAUAAUGGAUAGCUGUGAGGUGAUGCUCCAUUUUAUGCCAGCAAUUUACUCCCCUUUUCAGUCCUGCCCUUAACACAAUCACAACGACCUCUUCGCUCACGCUCCACCAUAACCUGUCCUUCUCUCCCAUCAAAGAUGAAGUUUCUGAAGCAGAUUUCUCAGGUGAGAUAAACCCUGCUUCUAUCAGCCUGGCCAUGUGGGGAAAAUCUUAACUAUCAAAGGAAGUCAUAAUUAUUUUGUUAGGUGAUGUAAUACAUAUUAAUCGUAAUGAACUUUAAGCUGAUAUAUGAUCCCCAUUAGAUUGCCAGUGUAGGUGCCAAGCCUUGGGCUCUUGCCUCCCAGAAGAGUAACACUGAUCAAGUAAAAUGCUCCUGUGUUCCGUGGCCAUGAAUGGUACUUAUUAAUUUAAAAACAGUGGUUAGAUAUUUAUUAUAAUGCAAGGUUUCAAAAAUACAUUAUCAGUACACACUACUUGGUCUCAACACGUGUGACUACAGACAUCACUUUAGAUUCUACAUGCUUCAUCAUGAAUGUGGAAGACAUGAAUAAAAACUUCCUUGAUGGAAAUGUAUUCAGUUUAUGUGGCUCCUGUGCCAUCUUUUUACCUCUUGGGUUACUUUUCUUUCCCCCUUCUCUCAUGACUGACAUCAUUUAAACACUCCCAUCUCUCCUUUCCUAUAAAGACAGUUGUUCUUCUGUUGUUCGGUCGCCAAGUUGUAUUUGACUCUUUGAGACCCCAUGGACUGCAGCACGCCAGGCUUCCCUGUCCCUCACCAUCUCCUGGAGUUUGCCUACAUUCAUGCUCAUUGAAUCGAUGAUGCCAUCCAACCAUCUCAUCCUCUGAUAAAGACAGAUCUGCCAACAAACUGUUCAAUCCUAGGUGGCUUUUUUUUUUGUUUUUUGUUUUGGCUUAGAGGGUUAUGUGGCACCUCUUCAAGUGGUUGUGAUUGGUGCUCACACUGCAACUGGUUUGCAAGAGUCCUUGCAUGCCAAUGACCGAGCCUACCAGCAUCAAAGCUACACACUAACCAUCGGGAGGUCUAGGGGCUGCGCACCCUGAGGACUGCUUUGCAAAGCUGACAGCGCCUUCUGCUUCCAGUGUUAAAGAACCUUCUGGAUGGGCCACUGACCUAGCAGACAGGGACCUGGGUUCUAGUCCCAGGGUGAACCCUGAGCAGUAGCAGGACCCUGGACAAGGCACUUCAGUUCCCUAAGCCACCAACAUUCUUAACACCACAACUUGGGCUUGUGCUAGACAGUAGGUCCUUGUUGGUUAUCGAUUUUAAACAUAGUGGUGUGUAUAUGUCACCUGAAACUCACACAACACUGCUACCAACUAUAGUCCAAAAUAAAAUGAAAAUUUCUUUCAAAAAACUUGAAGAUCUUUCAGCUCCAUAUUAUUUCAGAAUAUGUGUGUAUGUGUGUGCAUAUAUAUAUAUAAUAUGAUCCCUUAUAUAUAUAACAUGAUCAUAAACAUGGUUUUUUAAGAUAUGCUAAAGGAAUGGAGAAAACUGCUGUUUUUUUUUUUAUGACUGAUCCUGAUUUUCUAUACAACCUUUGAAGGGUUAAAGUAUAAACUGUUUAGAAUCCACCAAAAAAAAAAAAAAUCCAAAAAACAGUUCACAUAAAAAAGAAAAGGUAACAGCCAUGAAAUUGAAAGCAAACCAACAACUGAAAUAAAAUUCAAACUACCAUUCCUAUACAGAAGUUGGAAAGAACAAAUAAAGGAAUAACAGCUAACGUGAUGGAUAACAUGAUGGAAUACGGAGGAUCCUGUGGGGGGAACGUGGCGGCUCCUUCCUCCUCUCUUUUUCCUAUUCAUUGAUCCACAAAGAUGCACGAACUGCUGAGGCACUUUUUAUGUCCUUAUUAGAGCUGCAAUACAAGUACAAACCAAGAGGGAAAUAAGUCCACACAAGCUUGAGACGGGAACAUACCAGGUGGACAAAAUCAGAGAAUCUAAAGGGUUGGAUGGAUGAACCAGCCUGAUAAAAUACCCCAAAGAGAGACUAUUCUAGUUUUGCCAGUGGUAGGGUAUUCCUCAGGUGUAUCAGCCUCCAUGUUAAUUCCAUCUCCACUCUAGGGGGAAAAAAAAAAAUGAUGCUAGAUGCAAUGAAUACUGAUGUGCUGGAGUGUUUAGGAAAAGAAAAGGACUACAGCAAAUAAGCAGUCACUAAUAUUGGAAUUACAACUACAUCUGUGGCCAUGUAAUUAGCUGGAAAGCUCAGCAUCUGUCACAAAAUUGCAACGACGAUCUGUGAACUGAUAACACUAACAAUUAAAAUAAUAACACCACAAAGCCUCAAGAAGCUUUAAUUAUUCAUUUAAUUUGGAAAGUAAAGCUGGAGAGGACAGCCACUAAAGAUCCAGCUUUUAUACUCAUUCCUACUUAUUUGAUUCUUGAAAUUUUUCUAUUGUUCAUGUGAUCCUCUACUAUAUUUAAUGAGCCCUGAUUUUCCUGCAAGUCUUCCCCCCCAAAAAAAACAACAAAUUUUGUGUUCAAUCCCUGUAUUUCCAAUUACAUCAGGCAUGUGGGCAAAUUGUUAGCUCUCUAAAACAGACAAUCAACUCCAACUUCACUAGAAUAAGGACCACUUUGGUAUUUAAUGCACUUAAACAGUGCAGUUAAAAUAAAGACAGUGAUUGCUGUGUGCUUCUAAAUGUAGUCGACAAACAUUUGUGAGUCUUCCCAUGCACAUAUAAACUACCCUUAAACUUUACAAUCAAGAAGAAGAAAAGGAAUGAGCAACAGAUACAAUACAGGCUGCUCUGCAAUAAUGCCAUGGAGGUGUUACAAAUUUUGAGCCCUAAGCAAGGAGGGCAAAGGGGUGACUUCUGAUUGGAGAUCAAAGAAAGGCUUAGGGCAGAGGUGGCAUUUGAAGUCAUUCUUAGCCUGGGCAAAGAGGGAAAGUGACAUUUCUGACAGCUGGGUGAACAUGAAGGGUAACUCAGAGGGACAAGAAGAGCAGAGGGAGCUUGGGAGAUAUGGGGAAUGGCUGCAGCCAGCUGAAAUCAUAGAUAUAAACCAGAAAGGGAGAUGGAGGAUGGGUUACAUUGGGGGCUGGUUUAAAGAGUUUGGAUUUUACUUGGAAGUCAAGAAGUAAGUCGUAAACAUUUUAAAAUUGGGGAGCCACAGUUGAUCAUGAUUCUUUAAGGAUUCUCUGUCCCAUAAUAAUGGGCAGGGCCAAUUUUGAAGGAAAUCUCUGGUGUUCACCUGGUGGAGGGGGGAAGGAAGGUGUUAGUUGCUCAGUCGUGUCCAUCUCUUUGUGACCCCGUGGACUAUAGCUCGCCAGGUUCCUCUGUCCAUGGGACUCUCCAGACAAGAAUACUGGAGUGGGUAGCCAUUCUCUUCUCCUGGAGACCUUCCCGACCACAAUAAUAAACAGUCUAAGAAGAACUUGAUGAGGACGUGGCAUGGAGAUGAUGGGAAAGAAGAGCAAGACGCUUCCUCCUAGAGCGGGUCGGUCUAAUACAACUUCCCGUGAUGAUGGAAACACUCUACACCUGCCCUCUCCACCCAAGCAGGACUGCAAUGUGAUGUGUGUGAGAGUGUGUUAGUGUGGGUUUCCCUGGUGGCUCAGACGGUAAAGAAUCCGCCUACAAUUCAGGAUACCUGGACUCUGGGUCGCGAAGAUCCCCUGGAGACGGAAAUGGCAACCCACUCCAGGACUCUUGACUGGCAGGCCACAGUAUAUGGGGUCGCCAAGAGUCGGACAGGACUGAGAGGCUAACACUUCACACUUCAGUGUGAUGGAAACGGAAUUUUAAAUUGUAUUAGGGUUGGGAUGAUCCCCUGGAGAAGGGAAAGGCUACCCACUCCAGUAUUCUGGCCUGGAGAAUACCAUGAAUGUAUAGUCCAUGGGGUCACAAAGAGUCGGACAUGACUGAGCAACUUCCACUUUCCACAUGCAUCUCGUGACUACUGUAUUCAAUAGCACAGUUCUCAAGCAAUAAAGGCUGCACAGUAAGAUAUCAAAAACAAAGAGAAAUAGUAUUAAAAAUAUUUAAGUAACAGAAGGUAGAAAUUUACACACUUUUUGUAAGUUCCCCCAAAUGUUGAUCUGAGUCAAGUGCUUGUUAAAAUACAUUGAGCUGUGACCUUCUUGAAAACAAAAAUAGUUUUCUUUCCAUCUUUCUGUCUCUUAGUCCUUAGUACAGACCUGAGCACUGUAAGUACUCAAUAAACAACUCUGAAUGAUUACAUGAAUGAGUUCACUCAUGCACGAGUGAACACACUAUGUGCAUGCAGGUCUGAGUUCACCAUUCAAAGAGCUGAGUGCAUUAAGACAUUAGGCAAAUCCUUAAUGGGUGAAGGACACCAAGUAUGGGCUAUUUCCAGAGCUUCAUUCCUUUAUUGCUCUAAAACUCAAGAUUCUAGAGUAUGUGGAUAGAAACAUCUGGAGAACUGAAAUUUCAUUUUUUUUUAAGCAAAAUUGGUGUUGUUACUUUUCUCAAGAGUUUUAGCAAAGCCAAAAGAAUUCAUAUGAAUGAUGGAAACUGAACACCAUCAUGCAUAAUGCUUUUAGAAAGCUACUUUCUGCUUCUUAAAGCAGUAUGUAUUUCUUAUAGAAACUCAAAUAUAUUCACAUAAUAAAGGAGAAAAUAAAAUUAUAUAUAUUUCUAAAACCAGAGGUACUCACUGUUGAGGUAUCAUUGUUAGCAAACCAAACAUAGGUUUGCUCACCUGCUCUCAGCAAACUCAAUAUACUGACACAGGAUGGUGGUGAAGGAAAGUGCAACAUUUACUGCAGGGUACCAAGCAAGAGUCUGGCCAGCUCAUGCUCAAAAGACCCCAACUCCUUGAUGACUUUCAGGGAUGGGUUUUUAAAGACAGGAUGAGGGGCAGGACUUUCAGGUCCAGUGGUUAAGACUCUGAGCUUCUACUGAAGGGGGAAUCAAUUCAAUUCCUGAUCAGCCAUGCCUUUUGGGCUCAGUCACUAAGUCCUGUCUGACUCUUUUGCAAUCCCAUGGACAGCGGAACCUUGCAGGCUAUUGUCCAUGGGAUUUUCCAGGCAAGAAUACUGGAGUGGGUUGCCAUUUCCUCCUCCAGGAGAUUUUCCUGACUCUCGUCUUAUGCAUUGCAGGCAGAUUCUUUACUGCUGAGGACUGGGGCUUCUCAAGUGGUACUAGUGGUAAAGAACCCGCCUACCAAUACAGGAGAUAUAAGAGACACAGGUUCGAUCCCCAGGUCCAGAAGAUCCUCUGGAGGAGGCCACAGCAACCCACUCCAGUAUUCUUGCCUGGAGAAUCCCAUGGAUAGGGAAACCUGGCAGGCUAUAGUCCAUAGGGUCGCAAAGAGUCAGGCAUGGCUAAAGCAACUCUGCAUGCACGCAUGCAUGCACCUGGUCAAGACAAAACCAACAUAAAUAAAUCUCAUUAAGACAGGGUGAGGGAGACAGUCUUGAAGUGCAUGAUCAGCUUGUGGACAUUCUUCUGAUUGACCGGUUGUGAGGUAAUUGGAAUGCAACAUCAUCAACCUUCUGGUUCCAACCGGCCUGGGGUCUACAUGCUGGUGGUCAGCAUACAAUUACUUUUUUUUCCAGCUGGUGGGUUUCAAUAUCUGCAUAAUAGCUCAAGCAUAUAGCUCAGGUUAUCUAUAGCCUUUGAGAGGAACUAAAGGUUCUUGACUUGGUUUGAUAACUAAACUAUUAUUAUUUUGUCUUGCUUGACUGUUUUCAUUUGCUUCUGCAUUUUCUUGCUUCUAUGAUUAGAUCUGAUCUUAGGAACUCCCAGAAGGCUAGUUUCUCUACAAAUAAGAGGCAGGUGCAGGAAAUGGGGCUGUCUGUUCCAAGGAGACAUCACUGAGUUCUGCUCAUUACAAUCCCCCCUUUUAUCUGAUACUCUUCAAUCUUGAGGAGGACCAGGUACAGAACAGGAAAGCAAAUAAAAUUUUGGAUAGAGAAGUUAAUCAUAAACUUGGCAUAGUAACUUGGUUUUAAGGGGACCCAUUUUUAUUAUUAUAUUUGUCUUUUUUUUCUGUAUGUGUUUACACAUAUACAUAAACCUUUUCUCCACAAAAAGUAAAUCUUCAUACUAUGAAUUAUGUCAACAUUCUUCUAAAUAAUUUCCAUAGCCACAUAAGAUUCCAUUGUGUGAAAAUGCCAUGAUCUACCUUUACUGUUGAACACACAUUGUUUCCAGUCUUCCAGAAUGCCAUUUGGAAAUUUAUAUUGAGACUUUAAAAUAUCUAUAGCCUUGACUUGUUACUCCACUUCUAGGAAAAUGUCUUAAGGAAAAGAAAAAAUGGCAUCAAAAAUUAUUUAUAAUAGUGUAAGACUGGGACUUCCCAGGUGAUCCAUCCAGUGGUUAAGAAUGUGCCUUGCAUUUCAGGGGAUGCAGGUUUGAUCCCUGGUCAGGGAACUAAACUCCCACAGCAACUAAACCCACAUGCCUCAACGAGAGAGUCCAAGAGCCACAAGGAAAGAUUCCACAUGACACAACAAAGAUCCUGCGUGCCUCAACUAACACCCAACACAGCCAGAUAAAUAGCUAAAUAAAUACAAAAAUAAGGUAAGAUUGCUAAAAGAUUUCAACAUCAAAUAAUAAUGGGUAAUAAAUUAUGUUAAAAUGAAUACUAUACAACUUGUAAGAGCUGUUUAAAAAAAUUGCAAGGCAGAAAAUAUAAAAGUAAACAAAAAACCCAUAUAAUAUCAAAUUACAUAGGUAAUGUAAGUACCAGGUUUUAAAUCAAAAUGUAUACAUAAAAGGGGGUGAGAAUAAUGUACAUAUCUUAAUUGUGUGUGUGUAUCAGUCCCUCAGUCAUGUCUGACUCUUUGUGACCCCCUGGGCUGUAGCCUGCCAGGCUCUCCUGUCCAUUGGAUUCUCCAGCCAAGAAUACUGGAGUGGAUUGCCACAUACCCUGCUUCGCGGGAUCUUCCCAGCCCAGGGAUCAAACCUGAGUCUCCUAUUUCUCCUGCAUUGGCAGGUGGGUUCUUUACCACUAGAGCCACCUGGGAAGCCCCAUAUCUUAAUUAAAAAAUACUUUAUUGCUGCAAGUGCUAACUGGUAUCUAAACCUUCAGUGAGUUGUGGUCGUAUCAGCAAAGAUCACUGACCACAGAUCACCAUAAGAAAUAUAAUACAGAUGAAAACUCGUGAUAUUGUGAGAAUUACCAAAAUAUGAUGGAGAGGCAUGAAAUGGCAAAUGUUGAAAAAUGGCAAUAGUAGACUCGCUUGACUCGGGGUUGCCAUGAACACUCUGUAAAAAAAAAACAACAAAACCCCACAGUAUCUAUGAAGUUCAGUAAAACAAAGCACAGUAAAAUGAGGCGUGCCUGUGUUAGCAAUGCUUGUCCUUGACCGAGAGACUAGAAAGCAACUAUAUGUGCUUCCACUCCCAGUGUUUCCACACAGUGAAAGCUCUAUGAUAGAAACAAUUUUCUCUUAAGGAGUCCACAGAGCGUUGUGGUCAAGACCAGAGGGUGCACUGAUGCUGGCAUUAAUGUCGUCCGGGAAGACGUCUUAAGGAUGCCGUGAGAUAAGUUUCUCCAUAUUCCUAUACAGAAAAGCAGGUGAGCAGGAUUUCUAAGCAAGCAGAGACUUAACAGGGAGUCUGAACAUGGUGAGUGUUUUCAACCCUCUUCAGAGAGGGGCACAUAGAUGUGGUGACCUUACUUAAAACCUGAGACAACAGUCAUUGAAUGUUAAGUUCAUUCACUUCCCAUUAUAAAGGAAAAUCAUUCUGUGACCAUGUCAGAGUCCUGGGGUGCCCUCAGGGGAUUCUGCUAAGGGUGCCCCAGAUACACCAGGCAGCUGGUGUGUGUUUUAGACACCACCAUGCUGAAACAACCAUCCACAUAAGCACAGCUAAAGCAUGUUGGCCUCAAAUGCUGUUGUUACCACUUGCAGGACUAUUGCUGUCUGUUAGGGCUGCCUUUCAGAAAGCCACUGGGGCUUCCCAGGUAGCUCAGUGGUAUAAAGAAUCUGCAUGCCAAUGCAGGAGACACGGGUUCAAUCCCUGGGUCGGGAAGAUCCCCUAGAGGAGGAAAUGGCAACCCACUCCAGUAUUCUUGCCUGGAUAAUCCCAUGGACAGAGAAGUCUGGCAGGCUAUAGUCCAUGAGGUCGCAAAGAGUUGGACAUGACCAAAGCACCCUGCUUAUUUAACUUAUAUGCAGAGUACAUCACGAGAAAUGCUGGGCUGGAAGAAGCACAAGCUGGAAUCAAGAUUGCCCGGAGAAAUAUCAAUAACCUCAGAUAUGCAGGUGACACCACCCUUAUGGCACAAAGUGGAGAAAAACUAAAGAGCCUCUUGAUGAAAGUGAAAGAGGAGAGUGGAAAAAGUCGGCUUAAAGCUCAACAUUCAGAAAAUGAAGAUCAUGGCAUCUUGGACCCAUCACCUCAUGGGAAACAGAUGGAGAAAUGGUGGAAAUAGUGUCAGACUUUACUUUUUUUGGGCUCCAAAAUCACUACAGAUGGUGAUUGCAGCUGUGAAAUUAAAAGACGCUUACUCCUUGGAAGGAAAGUUAUGACCAACCUAGAUAGCAUAUUAAAAAGUAGAGACAUUAUUUUGCCAAGAAAGGUCCAUCUAGUCAAGGCUAUGGUUUUUCCAGUGGUCUUGUAUGGAUGUGAGAGUUGGACUGUGAAGAAAGCUGAGUGCCGAACAAUUGAUGCUUUUGAACUGUGGUGUUGGAGAAGACUCUUGAGAGUCCCUUGGACAGCAAGGAGAUCCAACCAGUCCAUCCUAAAGGAGAUCAGUCCUGGGUGUUCAUUGGAAGGACUGAUGCUGAAGCUGAAACUCCAAUACUUUGGCCACCUCAUGCAAAGGGCUGACUCAUUGGAAAAGACCCUGAUGCUGGAAUGGACUGGGGGCAGGAGGAGAAAGGGACAAUAGAGGAUGAGAUGGUUGGAUGGCAUCACGGGCUCGUUGGACAAGAGUUUGAGUAAACUCCGGGAGUUGGUGAUGGACAGGGGGGCCUGGCGUGCUGCAAUCCAUGGAGUCGCAAAGAGUCGGACACGACUGAGUGAACUGAACUGAAAGCAAUUGAGCCACUAGGCUAAGCAGUUCACAUUAUUUUUUAACCAUACACUUCCUCCUUUGGCAGUGAAAGUCACUCAGUUGUGUCCGACUCUUUGUGACGCCAUGGACUAUACAGUCCAUGGUAUUCUCCAGGCCAGAAUACUAGAGUGGGUAGCCAUUACCUUCUCCAGGGGAUCUUCCUAACCCAGGGAUCGAACCAGGUCUCCUGCAUUGCAGGAGGAUUCUUUACCAGCUGAACCACAAGGGAAGCCCAAGAUCACUGGAGUGGGUAGCCUAUCCCUUCUACAGUGGAUCUUUCCGACCCAGGAAUCAAACUGGUGUCUCCUGUAUUGCAGGUGGAUUCUUUAUCAACUGAGGUAUCAGAGAAGCCCAGUGGCAGAUAAGGAAACAUUAAUAGCUUGUUAAUUUCCCUCAUUCUAUAUAUGGGAAAACUGAAGGACAGACAGAGUAAGAAAUGGCCUCAGAGAUCUCUUUUUUAAGAAGCUUCCAAAGUGGACUUUCACCCCAGUCAGUCUGGCUCCAGAGCCUGACUCUUCCAAGUCCUCUCUCUUCCCCAUCAGCUUUACCAUGCUUUUAACCUCCGCUCUGAACCUUAUUUGCAUAUUUAGCAUUAAGGUUUUAUACUUAUCUAUAUUAAUAUGCAAAACAUUUCUAGCUAAUGUGAACAAUUAUCCCAAGAGCAUCAAAACUGAAAGAGAAAAUAAUUCAACAAAACCCCCUUCCACAGUUAGAGCUCACUAAGUUAUAGAUUUUCUGGAGUACUCCCUUUGAAAUGGAUUCCAUCGUCAUUUGAGAUUUAAUUGGAAUAAAAUUUGCCAAACUUACUAGACUGUAGUAACUCACAGGAGAAUAGAAGUGUGCAAUGCCAAAAGGCAUUUUUCUCCAAGAUUCUGUAUGUUAUUUUUCUAAUGAGUUAGUUCAGAUUUUUCCAUGUUUAUUAACCAAUUGUAUCACUUACUUCAAGAGCUGGAAGCAAGAAAGUGACUAUGUGGCUAUGAACUGUUGUACCUUUAAGCCACUAUAUUCCAUGUGUCAUCCUCAGGCAUUUAGUUCGAACAUGAAAGGACGGUACCCUGUUCUCCUACCCCAAAUUGUCUGUGCUCUCCACACUCAUACCUGUUGGUAGAAGGGAAAGAUGGAAAACAACUGAACUCAAUCACCUUCCGGGCCAAAAAAGAAAACAGACAUUCAGAAACAGACACUGUAGAUCAAACAGGGACAAGUCCAGUUUCCAAGUCCAUUCACUGAACAUUGGCUCAGGACCUUGUAAUACAUUUUAUUAACAGGAAAACACAUCUGGAGUCAACGGAUUUGUUCAUAUUUCAGGUUGUCGGGUUCCCAGGACUUUUACUAUCAAUCCCCAGUUUACCACCUCUUCUACUCUGACCUCUGAUUUCAUUUCAUAGGAUCCAGGGAAUUUGGUCAAUCAGUUGUGGAAUUUCUCUUAUCAUUUGCUUUAUGAUAAUAAUACCUUUCGUGUGUACUUUAAUCACAGUUCUCAAAGCAUUCAUUGAGUUCUCAUAACAUUGCAGUGACAAGCAUAGAAAGAAAUGAUGCCCAUUUUAGACUGAAAAGACAAGAGUUGUGGCCCCAUGUAGAGAAUGAACACAUUUCCCUCCAACAACCAUACUGGGAUUUGUUUAUAAGUAUAUGGUCAUUCCAUGACUCAAACCUUACAGAUUGCUUUGGGUUUGGCAUGCUCAGUCAUGUCUGACUCUUUGCGACCCCAUGGACUGUGUAGCCUGCCAGGCUCCUCUGUCCAUGGUAUUUCCCAGGCAAGAAUACUGGAGUGGGUUGCCAUUUCCUCCCUGGGGGAUCUUCCUGACCCAGGGAUCAAACCCUUGUCUUCUGCGUCUCCUGCAUUGGCAGGCAGAUUCCUUACCACUUACUGAUCCAUCUGGGUCUUACUACCUGUCAAAACCUGCUGGGCAUCAAAUUAAUAUUGAUUAUGUGCCUAUGAAGUGCCAGACACUAAGCUUGGGCUGGGGAGAUGAAGAACUUAGGAUGUAACUCAAGGAUUUGUUGUAUAAAUAAUCCCCAAUUUAUGCUAUUGUCCAGACAAGGUUGGCACCAGCAGUGUGAAGGAGAGUUCAGCCUUCAGGAACCCACAUGACCUGGAGUUGAAAUUCUGGCUCAACUGCUUACCAAUCACGUGAACUUGGGAGUUAUUUUACCUUUCUGAGCUUCAGUUUCUUCAUCAAAAGCCAAUGAAAACAAUCUCUCAGUGCAAACAUACAGGGAAAAUGAGAUAAUAGAUUUAAAGCGUCUGGCACAAGAUAGGUAUUCAAUUAAAAGUAACCCUAUGGAAAGGGAAGAUGAGAGGAAGAGGAAGAUAAACAUGCAGAACUCAGCCAACUCCAUCUCUUGAUACCUUGAUGAGUCCAGUGUUACGAAAUGGGAUACAACAGAUCCUAAAGAAGACUCGUUCAAAGCCCAGCACUUCAAAACCACACACAUGCAGUCAUGUUUAUACCUCCCAAAUGCAGAGAAGGACCAAAGGCUUGAGUGCCAAAGAAAGAUACCCCUCCUGCACACAAGACUAGUAACUCAGCAGCCUGCGUGCUAAGUCGCUUCAGUCGUAUCCGACUCUUUCCAACCCCAUGGACCGUAGCCUGCCAGGCUCUUCUGUCCAGGAGAUUCUCCAGGCAAGAGUCCUGGAGUGGGUUACAGAGCUACAAAGAAGUGUACAGCAGACUGGAUAGAGUCACUGCAGGAAGGCAAGCAAUCUUUCAUCAGUGAAAAGGCUAACGACAUCCCAUUUCAGAAAACAUUGGCCCAGCUGGCCACUUCAGAGAUCCGGAGGUCACUCCUGCCCUAAGUGUUUCCAGUGUCCGGCCAGGCAUGAGGCACUAGUCAUGACUUCCCAGGAAACUCCAUGUACAGCGCGAUGCCCAGAGUCCAGGACCACAGCCCUGGCAGCAUCACUGUGGUGCAGGUUGCAGGUGGCCGCAUGAAACCUCUGUACUAUCCGAAAUCCUAACCCACCUCAAUCCAAAAUGCAGAAGCCCAUCUCAAAUCUAAUUCCUGGCUAAAAAAAACUGUGGAGCCAGAAAAAGAAAAUUGAGCAAUUAGACUUCAGUAGGGAAUCUGGACUUAGUGAUAGAUCCUUUCAUUCAUCAUCCUGGGCAAGUAAACUGCUUUCCAAAGCUACCAACGGGCUUUCAGCCAAACCCCCACUUACUGCAAUCUCCGCAAGAGACAGACCAGGGCAUGAUGUCAGGUUUUAUGGUAAUGCCAAGCAAAAGUAAGAUAGGAAAUUGGGUGAUCACUAAACCACGGGGUCUAGUUACUGGCACUGACUGUGAAAGCUUUGGGAGGGGAAGGUCAAGGUGAAAGAGGUCUCAAAGAGCUGAUUUUAUUCUUGAUUCAUGGGCUCUAUGUCAUUAAUGUCACACGAUGGAGGGAGAGAAAUGAAAGAUGAACUCUCUUAUUUAUAGGAUCUCUACCCAACGUCCAGUAGGAAUUUCAUGUCAUCCCUUGAGAUGCUCUCAUGCUACAGAGGCAUGUGGGACCAAGAAGAGCAAAGUGUGCAUUUUUAAAAUAUGUGGUUUAAUUUUACCAGCAUAAUCUAUGCCUCUUUUGCAACAAGUUCUUUUCUUACUUUUUUACAGUUGUGGGAAAAAUCAAUUUGGAACAAAUGAAUUUUUACUACUUGUAUAGGAGUCCAUCAGUGAUAAGUCUUCCUGCUUUGUUUCGUAUUUAAUCUUCUGGUAUUAUGACAGCAAUCCCAAAGAUGGGGGGAGACGCGCAUAGCUGUCUUUUCUCCACUUCCUUUAAAGUGUUAAGCAUACCAGAGAUGACGUUAAUGGCCUUAUCUGAUUUGAUUUGAGUAGCAAUCUUUUAAAAUUAAUAACUCUGAUGUCAGCUUCCCUGUCAUGUUGCCAAGUUUAAUUCCCACUUCUGCCACGAUUAACACUCUAAUGAAGACACUGUCUGAUUUUAGCACUAGUACACCCUUACAGAGCAUCACUCUGCUCAGCUACAAAGCUUCUGUAGUGAAUCACGAUAAAUCAACCCCAGUGAGCAGUCCUUAUCAGUUGCAAGACUAAAAACCACUAAACAUUUCUAUUUCUCUCUAAAUCUGGAUUGCCCCAUGAUGUAUUUAACAUUAAAUCAUCACUUUCAUUUCCAAAUGUUUCACUGUUUUAGGGGAUUCUCCCUAAACCAUUCCACAAAAGGUAAGUGAUUUGGUUUCUGUUGAAGACCUAGAGGAUAAGUGGCUUUCCCGAGAGAGGAGUUCUACAAUGUCCAAUCAAGAAUUAAUUGCGUCCAUCAAACCCCGUCUCUGCCUCUACAAUCUGAAAUGAGUGAAUAAAGAUGUGGUAUAUAAACACAAUGGAAUAUUACUUGGCUAUAAAAAAUAACAAAAUAAUGUCAAUUGCAGCAAUGUGGAUGGACCUAGAGAUUAUCAUACUCAGUGAAGUAAGUCAGACAGAAAGACAAACAUCAUAUGAUAUCACUUGUAGGUGGAGUCUAAAAAUAAUGAUAUAAAUGAACAUAUUGACAAGACAAAUAGAUUCAUAGACAUAGUAAACAAACUCAUGGUUACCAAAGGGGAAAGUGAAAGUGUGAGUCACUCAGUCGUGUCCGACUCUUUGUGACCCCAUGGACUGUAGCCUGCCAGGCUCCUCUGUCCAUGGAAUUUUCCAGGCAGGAAUAUUGGAGUGGGGUGCCAUUUCCUUCUCCAGAGGAUCUUCCGGACCCACGGAUUGAACCCAGGUCUCCCGCAUUGCAGGCAAGAUUCUUUACCAUCUGAGCCACUAGGGAAGCACGGAGGGGAUGAAUUAGGAGUCUUUCCUCUUCCUCCCGUGCAGCAUGAGCAAAAACAAAGGUGCUUAUCUCACAGAUAAGGGUUAAAAGUGGAGUGCUUCUCCCAUACUCGGUAUACAGUAGGUGCACAGUAAAUGCUGUUAUUCCUACUGGUGCUGUUAUUGCUGUCAGCGACAGGAAGUCAAUGGUCUUCCAAUUUCCUGACCAGGAUUCUUUUAAUUCAGCCACUAUAUCUCUUAUGUGAAUAUAUCUUUCAUUAUAAUGCCAGCCUAUACUACUAUCCUGUCUCAUAUCUCAUUCUAUUUAUUCUCUUUUACUACAAGGUUCAAAAUUAUAUUUGAUCAGCCCAGAAUAUUUUCCUUCUGUGACAGAACGUGGUUUUCUCCUUUAGCCUAAUUUAGUUAAGACUCAAUUUUCACAAAGUCUGUGCAUUAGAGCCAGGAAAACACUUGGUCUGAAAUAGCCCCACUUCCUUUCCCCCUGACAAUUAGUAACAAUUUUCCUACAAAAUAUAUUGAGGUUUCCCAUAGGGUCCAUCUCAGCUGAAUGGAAUUCUCAACCGUAUCACCACCAUGGAAGAUGACUCUUGGUGACAUUUCACAAAAACAAGAGGAAAAUAAGAUCCACUGUUCCCUGCUCUCUUUCAUUUACCCCAUGAAGUGUGCAGGCCAGGAGCUUCCUCUUCACGCGGUCAUGGAGUUUCAGAAGAGGCAUCCACCACGUAUUCAAAACUUGACAAGGGGCUGGCCCACAGAGAGCCAGGGCAGAGAAGCAGGAUGCUAAGGAAAAUAGGAGCCAGGAGUCAAGCAAUUAACAUUUUUUUUCAUGCUUCACUGUAAUUAGCCAGAUCAAAGGGGACCUGGGCUUACAGAAUUCAUCAGCUCUGUGACUCUCUGAGGACAGUUAGCAAAUAGUCCUGUAAACUUUCAUUAUGGCUAAUUGUCCACAGGCAGACUUUGUUUUCUUGUAAAUCACUCCUUUGUGAAUCCUUGACCAGUUAUUCACAUCCUGGAGUGCUGUACUUGAGAACAGUUGCAGGACACAUGUAGUUCCCGUGUCCCGAGUAUCUCUUGUGUGUUGCAGGUGGCCCAAGAACACCCCAAACCCACUCUGCAAGGUAGGCACUCGGGUUCCAAGUUCUGUGACUGUUGCCUCAUUGUUAGGCAGUGGUAGGAACCGAACUCAAAUCUUUCCAAAAGCCUGUGAUUUGCAAAGGUCCCUGAUCAUUAAAGAAUCCUCUGUGCUGCUUAUUAAAAAUACACUUUUUAAGUCAGGCGAUCUGGAGUGAGGCUAAGAAAUAGGAUCUUUAAAAAGUUCCAAGUGAUUCCUAUUUUCCCUCGAGUUGGGUAAGCCAGCUGCAUCUAUGGGACUUUCUAUUUACGCCCAAGAAAUUGAAAACAGAAACUCCAUUUUGCAGGAGUCUUACGGAUUUCAUGACUUGUCAGUCUCUUCCAGUCUUUUCUUCAGAGACUCAGAGUAAUAAACUCAUUUCUAUCGUAAUCCAUAUCCAUGUCAACCCUCUGUCCAGAACCCUGAGUGGUUUCCAAUUUCGCUCAGCAUCAUGGCCAGAAUCCUUACAAUGGCCUGACAGGGCUCCAUGAUCUCACUCUUACCUUUGGGACACCCUUGCUCUUUCACUCAUUCAUUUCUAGACACACAGCCCCUUGCCGUCCCAGAAGCGCUCCAGUUCCCAACCUGGACCUCCAUUUGAGCCGUUGCCUCUUCCUAGAACAUCCUUCCCUGAGAGAUCCCUCACCUCCUGUAAGUCUCCACUCAAACACCAGCUCCAUAAAGUCUGCCCUGAUCAUCCCAUAUAACGUUCAACCAUUCUCGACUCCUGUAACUCCUAAUCCCCUGUACUAACUGCCACUUGUCAGGAAGAUCUCCUAGAGAAGGAAAUGGCAACCCACUCCAGUAUCCAUGCCUGGGAAACCCCAUGGACAGAGGAGUCUGGCUGGCUAUAGUCCAUGGGGUCGCUAAAGAGUUGGACACAAUUGAGCGACUAAACAACAAUAACAUAUACAUACCUCACAUACUUACUCUAAGGCAGGAGUCCCCAACCUCCGGGAUCUAAUGUUUGGUUAUCUGAAGUGGAGCUGAUGUAAUAAUAAUAGAAAUAAAGUGCACAAUAAAUAUAAUGCCCUUGAAUCAUCUCAAAACCUCCCGGGUCUGUGGAAAAAUUAUCUUCUGUGAAACAGGUCCCCUGGCGUCAAAAAGGUUGAGCGCCGUUGCACUAAGGGAUAUGUAUACAUAUACCUUCUAAUAUACCAUGUAAUAAGAUACUGUGUACUUUAUGCAUUAUGCUUACUGUUUACUUGCUACAGAAUAAACUCCACAAUAUCAGAAACCUUGGUCUACUGAGAUAGGCCAAGCACCUAGAACAGUGCCUGGUAUGCAGUAGGUGCCCAAUAAACACAUGUUAAGCUAAUGAAUAUAACUGAACCAAGAUUUCAUACAACAAUACUAUACUACACCUUACUACGUCAAUGGACUCGGAUACAGUCCAUCCAAUUCUCUUCUAAAUCAUCUCAUUAAAGUAUUGGCUGCAACUUAUUAGUUGGUCACCCAACAGUUUGAAAAACACUGACAUAAUUAAAAUCCUGUUGCUUCUUUGCCAACAACUUGCUGGGCGCCUAUUUAAGUCAUCAGACCAAUUUCUCACAAAGCGUCAUUUAACCAGUCACAUACAAAGAGCUCCCUACAAAGGGUAAUCACUAUAAGUGGUGAUAGAAAAUGGGCAAAUGAGAAAGAUGAUAAAAUAAUCAGAUUAGAGGUUUUGGCAUAUAAUCACAUGUUCAGCAAAAUGCUAACUCAGCUUUGAAGGUGUAAAGUUGUAAUAAAUAUGAAUAUUCAGGCAAUAAACAUGACUAUAGUAAGCAAUGCAUCAGUGAGUCACCCGGAAGAAUAGUAACCUGUCUCAAAUUGUAUUAAUUUAGUUACAGCAAAGUAAGGUUUUAAAACAUUCAGUUUAAUCAUCAUGUUUGGUGAAUUUUCCUUUCAAAACUAUUAAGAGGAAAGGACUGGUUUUAAGUCAGAUGAAUCAUUUCAGAGAACAUAAUCAGUAGGUCCUAUAUUAUCACCAAUGACCAAUUAUUUGUAGUUAUAUUAAUAUUUUAAGGGGUCUUAAAUAUUCUUUAAUCUUAGUUUGGCUUCACGUUUCACAAUUUAUGCUAUAAGCAUGCCCCGUUAGUUUGCCAGGAAGGCCAUACAAAGUAUCACAGACUGGGUAGCUCAAACAAGAGAAAUUUAUUUUCUUGUGACUCUGGAAGCUAAAAGCCCAAGGUCAAGGAGUUGGCAGGCUUGCUUUCUUUAGCAGACUCCCUUGUUGGCUUGUAGGAAGCUGUCUUCUUUCUGUCUUCAUAGCACCUUUCCUGUGUGGGUCUGUGUCCUAAUCGCCUUUUCUUAAAAGGACAGUCAUCUUGGGUUAAGUCCCACUCUAAAGACCUCAUUUCUACUGAAUUAUUUCUUUAAAAACCCCAUCUCCAAACACAGUCACACGCUGAAGUAUUGAGGGUAGGGCUUCAACAUAUGAAUUUGGAGGAGACACAACUAAGCCCAUAAUAUCCACAUUCUUAAGUUUAAUGCCUAAGACAUAUGCAGAAAUAAGCAUAUCAAUUUAUACUUUUACCUGCUUCCAUAUAUGCAGCCAAAAGCUAAGAUAAAAAUAUACAAUUUCACAUUUAGUGCACCUGGCCUCUUUAACAUGAAUAAAAACAAACUGUCAAUAAUGAUGUCAAUGAAUAAAUUAAAAUUGAUUUAACUCCAGUUAAGAUCUCGAGCUGGUCUCAUCAACCCAGGAGAAUAAAAGAACUUGCUUUCCUCAAAACUCAGGCUUUCUUCCUAAAUACUUCAUUUCAGAUUGGUCUAUACAGACAGGCCUAUUUCUCCUAAAAUCCUAGGUGCCAAUUUAAAAGGAACGUCUAUUUCAGGCAGGAUGAACCAACCACCUCGGGAGGAAAUGUGAGGUUAACUGAAUGGUUUAAAAUCAACCACGCAGAGAUGUGAUCAGCCUCGAAGCAUCCUAGGAAUCACGGCUAUUUCCACGUUACACAGGGUGGAAUCUGAAUGGAAUACCAUUGUCAGUGGAAUUCAGAAGAGAACCGGUGUCAGCCUUUCGUCAGGUCAAACCUUGCCAGAAGGCCCCUAUGGGUAGGGGAUUGUGCCAGAUCCUAAAGAAGACCGAGUGAGAAGCUACAGAAAGAAGUGAGUUGUUUUUUUUUACUUGGUGGAUGAAAGAGAGUGGCGCUAUUAGAACUGUCAAAGGACGUGAGGGCUCUCGGGCAGAAGAAUUCCACUUAUUCUCAGAGGCAGCCAAAUACAGUCUGAUCAGUUGGUUCAAACCCUGAGAGGCUGACUUUGGCUAAAGGAGAGAACUGUCCAACAGAAGUCAUGGGGUCAGUGAGUCCCUCUCCCUGACUAUUAAGACUAAGGGUCACGCGUGCCCUGGAGGGAUUUGUGUGUCAGGUAGAGAAUAAACUUCCUCGGUGGCUUCCAAAUCUGAGACUCUUCCAUCAUGUUCAUUCCCCCUAAAGGUUUCCAAUGAAUGACAAUAUCUACCUACCUUCAUGCACUGUCUAAAUAAUAAUACUUUGUCUACAGCAUAAGUAGACAGUAUCAUCUAUUCAAGGUUGUAUUGCCUUACUAUCAGAAAGGAGUUACUCCAUAAUUUCCUGCCACAUAAAAGUGAUAUCGUAUGACAUUUGUCUUUGUCUGACAUCACUCAGUAUGACAAUCUGUAGGUUCAUCCAUGUUGCUCCUCUAAAUUUUUUUUUAAGAGAUGAUAUCAUUCACAGGUUGUUAUUUUUUGGUGCAACCAGAAAAUAGUGGGGUACUGAAUAUGGGAGAUUUUGACUGUCUUGGGUGUCAGCUUAAGGUUCAAGUGGCAAAACAAACAAAAAUAGAGCUUCAUUCUACACCAUGCUUCUUAGUCAUCUUCAUUACAAUAUAAUUUUCUAGGGAACAUCGUAAAGGUUUCCAAUUCUCCUAUUCCAUGACCAACAGGGCAGUUAAUUAUGAUUCUGGACAAAAACAAAAUAUAAACAAAAACAUGUAUGAAAACAGACCUGUUGUUACUACUGCUAAUACAUUUGCCAGACUUUUAACAAGAAAUGAGGAUCCGAAUGUUCAGUGGCAAACACAGUGAUCAACUUGAUCAACUGUGAGAAAGGACCCCAGAGGCACAGGAACGAGGGGAGGAACACGGAACAGAAGGGAGUAAACAUCUUCAGUUAAAGUCCACCUGACUUCACACUCUGUUGAGCAGUAGAAACCAAAAUCACCUAACUUCUACCCAGCCAGGCUGGGAGGAUCAUCCACAGUGAGAAACAUUUCAUGCUCCUCAUUUACUUUAUUUUUCACUUGUUACCCCUAAAUUAAUCAGGGCCACCACUGUUCAGCAGCUUAAUCAACAGAACUCCAUCAUCUUGUCAGCUCCUUAAGAAGGAAGGGGACAGUCCACAGAACCCAUGCAUCCUUACAAGCAGAGCUCGGUGGCCCGCACUGCACUGGAGCACUGCAUGCUGGGACCUGCAGACGGCCAACAGGACGGGAGCUGGAGUACAUUUUCUGUGCAAUGAGAGGUUCAGAAAACUUUAGCCAAAGAAAAAGUUUAAUCGGAGAAGUGAGAAAAUGCAGAAGCAAAGGAACGCAGUCCAACAAGACCAGAUAAUCAAGUUCGGUCAUUAAGCAAAGUCAAGGACCUUGACUUCCUCCUCAAGGGCUACAGAUAACAUUCUGAGCCACGUCCUGUGAGCUGUCUGGUAGAUACUGAAACCCCCAGCAAGUGGAAAAAGUUAACACAUGAUGACCAGGCUGGAGCCAUGAUACAUGCGGCCACAGCUCUAAGAACCGGCCUCAAGGAAUGGGAACAGACUGGCCCUGGAACUGAAGAUACUUACAACAAUUAAGACACUGGUUAGAGCACUGAUGACCAAUUUCAAGAUGACAGUCAGAGCUGACUGUACUGUUUCUUCAUGGAGCCCCUUCUCUCUGAUAAAGGCUCUUGUCCAUUGGUUGUCAGUGGUGGGCAGCUGGCCUUUAGACAAGAGUCCAGCUCUCUGCCCCCCUGGUCGCCAGCUUCCAAAAUAAAGCAAACUUGCCUUUCCACCAACCUCGCCUCUUUAUUGGCUUGAGAGCACCGAGCAGACAGACCCCACUUCUGGUAACAUACCCACUUAAGCAUCCCCUCCAUCUCAAAGGACUCCAGACAUUUCUCCCAAAGUAAGAGGAAAAUGCCCCAGUGGGUACAGUUUGUAUCUGCUUGAUAAAUACUGUAAAUAACAGUCAUAAUAAUGCCUAAUAUUUAUAAGGACAUUUUGCAUAUGGCAAAAUAUUGUUACACAUUAUCUACACAUGAGGUGGAUGUUACUAAUCUCAUUUUAUAGAAAAGAAAACCAAACCUCACAGAAUGCAAUUCAAAAUAUAUAAUAUUUGAAUAUUAUAGAAAAUGAAAUUCACCCACAGAAACAGAGCAAAUAAAUGACAGUUCCAAGACCCCAACUCAGGUCUCCAGACCCUUUUCUCCUUCCCCCUCUUCACCCUUUUCUAUUCCUUUGUCCUUCCUUCCCUUCUCUCCUCUUUUCCUUCCCCUUCUUUUAAACAGCUUUCAAAGUCAAAGUCAAAGUGUUUGUCACUCAGUCCUGUCUGACUCUUUGUGAUCCCAAGGCCUGUAGUCCCCCAGGCUCCGCUGUCCCUGGGAUUCUCCAGGCAAGAAUACUGGAGUGGGUUGCCAUUCCCUUCUCCAGGGAUCAAACCCAGGUCUCCCACCUUGCAGGAGGAUUCUUUACCGCCUGGGCCACCAGGGAAGCCUAUUAACAGCUUUAUUGAAGUAUAACUGACAUAAUAAGCUGAACUUACUUGAAGUGUACAAUGUGAUAAAUUUUGAUGCGUAUAUAAAAGUGAAAAACAUCACCAUAAUUAACACAGGUAUCCAUUAUUCCAUCAAGUUUCCUCCUGAUUUUCUGUAAUUCCUCUCCCCCUCCAUUUCCCACUCUGCCAUCCCAGAUAACCCUUAACCUGCUUUCUUUUGCUAUAGAAUAGUUUGAAUUUUUGAGAAGUUUAUAUAAGUGGAAUCAUACUCUUUUUUUGUCUGGCUUCUUUCACUCAGCAUAAUUAUUUUUAGAUUCAUCCAGGCUGUCACAUGUAUCAAAAAGUCAUUCCUUCUUAUUGCAGAAUAAUAUCCUAGUGAAUGGGUAGAUCACUGCUCAUCCAUUCACCUGCUGAUGAACAUCUGGACUGUGUCUAGGUUGGGGUGAUUAUAACUACAGAUGCCAAGAGCAUUCAUACACAAGUCUUUGUAUGAAUAUAUGCUUCAUUUCUCUUCGGUAAAUUCCUAGGAGUGGCAUGGCUGGGUAACAUGGCAUGUGUCUAUUUUACUUCUUUAAGAAGCUGCCAGGACUUCUGGUGGUCAGAUGGUUAAGAAUCCACCUGCUAAUGCAGGGGACAUGAGUUUGAUCCCUGGUCCGGGAAGAUCCCACAUGCCGCAGGCAACUAGGCCUGUGCACCAAACUACUUGGCCCGCGUGCCUAAAGCCCACACUCUGCAGCUAGAGAAGCCACCGCAAUGAGACGUCCAAGCAGUGCAAUGAAGAUCCAGCAUGGCCAAAAUAAAAUAAUAAUAAUAAUAAAUAAAUACUUUUUUAAAAAAGAAGAAGCUGCCAAGUUGUUUUAUGAAGCAGUUGUACCAUUUCAUAUGGCUGUCAGCAGUGUAAAUGUUUUAGUUCAUCCACAUCCUUACUAACACUGAUGGUUGUUGUUUAGUUGCUAACACUAAGAACAGUUAGGGCUUCCCUGGUGGCUCAGAGGGAAAAGCGUCUGCCUGCAAUGUGGGAGACUGGGGUUUGAUCCCUGGGUUGGGAAGAUCCCCUGGAAAAGGAAAUGGCAACCCACUCCAGUAUUCUUGCCUGGAAAUCCCCUGGACAGAGGAGCCUGGUGGGCUAUAGCCUAUGGGGUCGCAA